rnacentral:rRNA from 1 species
AUGCCUAGAGACGUCAUCGACAAUCGAGCUGAAACAAAACUACAGGUGGUGGAUGCUUUUAAGGCAGCCUCCUUCCUACCGCCAAACCUGCAGUCGUUCUUCUUCAUGCCGGCUCAUGGUACUGCUGGCGGUUUACAAAUUGCCUGGGAUCAGUCUUUGUUGUCAGCAUCCGAGAUAUACAAGCAUAGAUUCUGCAUUUCAGUCCGUUUCAGUUCUACCAGUGACAAUACUUCCUUUCACCUCACAACUGUCUAUGCACACUGCGAGGAUUCAGACAGACCAGAGUUCUUCGCUAUGAUGGAACAAGUUGCCACGUUGAAUGCUGGUCCAUGGAUUAUUUUAGGGGAUUUCAACAUGUACAGUCAUUAA